UACGUAGGGUGCAAGCGUUGUCCGGAAUUAUUGGGCGUAAAGAGCUCGUAGGCGGUUUGUUGCGUCGGCUGUGAAAUCCCGAGGCUCAACCUCGGGUCUGCAGUCGAUACGAGCAAACUAGAGUGUUGCAGGGGAGACUGGAAUUCCUGGUGUAGCGGUGAAAUGCGCAGAUAUCAGGAGGAACACCAAUGGCGAAGGCAGCUCGCUGGGACGUGACUGACGCUGGAGACGCGAAAGCGUGGGGAGCAAACAGG
rnacentral:rRNA from 1 species